GACACAGUUCUAAGGGACAAAGUGGUGAU
rnacentral:piRNA from 1 species